rnacentral:misc_RNA from 1 species
UACUGCCGCGCUUGAGUUACUUCAGGUGCCUCUUGAACAGGCGCGGAGUUGAGGCUGCUCCAGUCAAGAACAUGUAUGCUCGUAGUCCUCCCACCGGUCCAGGAUCGUGUUAUGACCAAUAAAAUUCAUGUUACGAAUCUUGUGGUCUGUUUUAACUUUGUGCAUCCAACAUAUCUACUUGCCUGGAAUAAAAUUUGUGCCAUUGCAGAUCUCAUAUUUUCCUGUCAUCUAUCCUUG